AUGACUUUGAUCUGCGUCCUCAUCUGGACUCUCCUCCUCUGCUGCUGCUUCACAGAGUCCAGAGGACAGGUCUCAGUGACUCAGUCUGCAGCAGUGAUAUCUGCUCUGGGAGCCUCCGUCACCUUAUCAUGUACAACCAGUGAGGAUGUAGAGACUACUCCUCUUGGCGAACCCUUGUUAGCCUGGUACCAACAGAAAGAUGGAGGAACUCCUAAACUGCUGAUUUACGAUGGUAGCACUCAAGAAUCAGGGACUUCAGAUCGUUUUACAGGCAGUGGAUCAAACUCUGACUUCACUCUGACCAUCAGUGGAGUCCAGACUGAAGACGCAGCGGUUUACUACUGUCAGAGUUAUCAUAGCAUCAACAGUCAGGAUGUG